UGAAGAGCCUGUUUCUCUCUCAUGUGCACUGGCAGAUGGGUAGAAGAUUCUGCAUCACAGAAAAAAUGGAAAUAAAAAGUGUUCUGAUUAAGAGAUUAUGAAACAAGCUGCUUGAUGCUAUCUUGAGACAUGGGACUACUUAAACUGGACUACUGGACUACUUAAAGGAAGGCUUUAUGAAUAGCAGAGAAAGUGGUGUGUUCUUUAUUAUGUGGUAUAGUCACAUUCAGUGGCAUAUACCAUUUUCUUUAUUGGAUUGCAUGAUUCUGGAUUCAGUGAUCCAUGACCAGAAAAGUUCUUGUGUUAGUUUACAUCUAAAAUUCAAUUGUCUGCAAUCGCAGCACUAUGAACUGUUUAUAUGUUUGAGAAGUGCUUGGACAUAGGAAACAAGAAAUUUUUAAUGAAUGGAUUUUCAAUUCUGAGCAGCAGUUUCCAGAGUUAUUUUCAUUUGCUGUACCUAAUAGUUUGGACUUAGAAUAAAGGCCUUAUA